rnacentral:rRNA from 1 species
UACGUAGGGCGCAAGCGUUAUCCGGAAUUAUUGGGCGUAAAGAGCUCGUAGGCGGUUUGUCGCGUCGGCCGUGAAAUCUCCACGCUUAACGUGGAGCGUGCGGUCGAUACGGGCAGACUUGAGUUCGGUAGGGGAGACUGGAAUUCCUGGUGUAGCGGUGAAAUGCGCAGAUAUCAGGAGGAACACCGAUGGCGAAGGCGGCUCGCUGGGCUCUACCUGACGCUGAGGCGCGAAAGCGUGGGAAGCGAACCGG